CAUUCAGUCGUAAGAAAUUCCUGGAAAAUUGACAAGGGAGGGAUGGGGAAACUGCAACCUGCUGCUGUGACUUGUAAGUUGGUUGGUCCUUCCCAAACUGCAGACCACAGACUGGUUUCAAAAUUGGUAUCAGUGAGGUUUGGAUUUUGUUUUGGACAUUUGAAUUGGGAUGAGAAAAUGAACCAGCAGCAGCAGCAGAUUCUAAAAUGCAAUAGGGGAUUGGAAGAGUCAAUACUGUCAAAAUGACUAUACCAUCCAAAACAAUCUAUAGA